UCUGGGGUCAGAUAAUGUAACUUAAAACCUAUGUGUGAGGCCGGGCGCGGUGGCUCACGCCUGUAAUCCCAGCACUUUGGAGGCCAAGGCGGGCGGAUCACGAGGUCAGGAGAUCGGGACCAUCCUAGCUAACACGGUGAAACCCCGUCUCUACUAAAAAUAUAAAAAAAUUAGCCAGGUGUGGUGGUGGGUGCCUGUAGUCCCAGCUACUCGGGAGGCUGAGGCAGGAGAAUGGUGUGAACCCGGAAGGCGGAGCUUGCAGUGAGCCAAGAUCGUGCCACUGCACUCCAGCCUGGGCGAGCACUCCAGCCUGGGCAACAGAGCGAGACUCUGUCUCAAAAAC
rnacentral:lncRNA from 10 species